rnacentral:rRNA from 1 species
UACAGAGGGUGCGAGCGUAAUCGGAAUUACUGGGCGUAAAGCGUGCGUAGACGGUAGCGUAAGUCAGAUGUGAAAGCCCCGGGCUCAACCUGGGAAUUGCAUUUGAGACUGCUCUGCUCGGGUGCGGAAGAGGGAAGCGGAAUUUCCGGUGUAGCGGUGAAAUGCGUAGAUAUCGGAAGGAACACCAGUGGCGAAAGCGGCUUCC